GAUGAAGAACGUAGCGAAAUGCGAUAAGUAGUGUGAAUUGCAGAAUUCAGUGAAUCAUCGAAUCUUUGAACGCACAUUGCGCCCUUUGGUAUUCCAAAGGGCAUGCCUGUUCGAGCGUCAUUUGUACCCUCAAGCUUUGCUUGGUGUUGGGCGUCUUGUCUCUCUCCCGAGACUCGCCUUAAAAUCAUUGGCAGCCGGCCUACUGGUUUCGGAGCGCAGCACAUUAUUUGCGCUCUUGUCCAGCCGCGGUCGCGCGUCCAUGAAGCUACUUUCAAACUUUUGACCUCGGAUCAGGUAGGGAUACCCGCUGAACUUAAGCAUAUCAAUAAGCGGAGGA
rnacentral:misc_RNA from 1 species